UACGUAGGCAGCAAGCGUUGUUCGGAGUUACUGGGCGUAAAGGGUGCGUAGGUGGCUCUAUAAGUAUGGUGUGAAAUCUCCCGGCUUAACUGGGAGGGUGCGCCGUAGACUGUGGGGCUAGAGUGUGGGAGAGGAAAGUGGAAUUCCUGGUGUAGCGGUGAAAUGCGUAGAUAUCAGGAGGAACACCGGUGGUGUAAACGCUUUCUGGACCAUAACUGACACUGAGGCACGAAAGCGUGGGUAGCAAACAGG
rnacentral:rRNA from 1 species